GAGUUUGAUCAUGGCUCAGAUUGAACGCUGGCGGCAGGCCUAACACAUGCAAGUCGAGCGGUAGAGAGAAGCUUGCUUCUCUUGAGAGCGGCGGACGGGUGAGUAAUGCCUAGGAAUCUGCCUGGUAGUGGGGGAUAACGCUCGGAAACGGACGCUAAUACCGCAUACGUCCUACGGGAGAAAGCAGGGGACCUUCGGGCCUUGCGCUAUCAGAUGAGCCUAGGUCGGAUUAGCUAGUUGGUGAGGUAAUGGCUCACCAAGGCGACGAUCCGUAACUGGUCUGAGAGGAUGAUCAGUCACACUGGAACUGAGACACGGUCCAGACUCCUACGGGAGGCAGCAGUGGGGAAUAUUGGACAAGUGGGCGAAAGCCUGAUCCAGCCAUGCCGCGUGUGUGUAAGAAGGUCUUCGGAUUGUAAAGCAC
rnacentral:rRNA from 1 species